rnacentral:misc_RNA from 1 species
GAAAACAAAGGCAAGGUUAGAGAGAUGAUUGGAGGCAAGUGUGAAGUGUUUACAAUGAGAGUGAACGGUUUGGCAGGUGAACCGGCCGAUUCGCCUAGACCGGGAUGGAUCGGGUUUAGACAUAGGUCUCUGAUAAGGAGAGCUUGGCGGCCUAUACUGGUUGCCAUUCCAGAGGAUGAGUAGAAUUAAUUUGACCCACAGCCUCUCUGAUGUAGUAAAUAAUUUUCCGUAAAAUCGAAAAUUUCGUGGGUUUUUUUUUAACCUUCUAUUGCCAAUAUAAUAUUUCUAAACAAAUCAAGAAAAUUUGCUUUCUUGGAGAUGCUACUAAGGAAAAGGAAAAUUCUUUCGUUUCUUUUAUUUUCUUGCCAACCAAAGGCUUUUCAUUU